UUAUAGAAUAUUUUAUGUUAAAACUAGUAACAAGAAAANGACUUUCUCUUUAAUGCAACUAUAAAUCAGAAAGGACAAACCACUGAUAUUUAACAUCAUUGAACCGAAAGUAAAAACUCAUCAAGAAAACCCUACUCUCAUUUAUGUUAACCUAACACAAGAGCAUUACAAGAAAGAUUAAAAGAAAAAGAAGGAACUCGGCAAAUAUUAACCUCGCCUGUUUACCAAAAACAUCGCCUCUUGAAUCCUAUAAGAGGUCCAGCCUGCCCAGUGACUUUGUUCAACGGCCGCGGUAUCCUAACCGUGCGAAGGUAGCGUAAUCACUUGUUCUUUAAAUAAGGACUAGUAUGAAUGGCUCCACGAAGGUUAUACUGUCUCCUUUUUCUAAUCAGUGAAACUAAUCUUCCCGUGAAGAAGCGGGAAUACUAAUAUAAGACGAGAAGACCCUAUGGAGCUUAAAAUAACUCAACAUUUGCUUANAACAUUAAAAAUUUCAGAACUUUGACUUCUACUAGCAAUAUGAUUGUAAAUUUUUGGUUGGGGUGACCACGGAGAACAAUACAACCUCCAUGCAGAAAGAAUUUUCUUCUAAGCUAAGAAUUACUUGUCUAAGCAUCAACACAUUGACAUUCCUUGACCCAAUAUAAUUGAUCAACGAACCAAGUUACCCUAGGGAUAACAGCGCAAUCUACUUCAAGAGCUCCUAUCGACAAGUAGGUUUACGACCUCGAUGUUGGAUCAGGGUAUCCCAGUGGUGUAGCCGCUACUAAA
rnacentral:rRNA from 1 species